rnacentral:lncRNA from 1 species
UCCCCCCCAACUUUUUGAACCCCCCUUGGAGCAAUAACCCUUAAACUCAAUCCCAUGCUUUCCAUUGUAGUAUUGAACCUUGUAGUACAAUUUCAGAGAGAUCCAUACACUUAAACACAAGUUAUUGUCAUAUUUGUUUGGAAACUAGAAACAUGCUUCUUUUUGGCCCUUUUUUGGCCCGUAAUUCCUACAUAUUAUGGGCAAUUAACCCAAAACUUAAUCCCAGCCUCCCCUUUGUUAUAUGGUACAUUGUGGUACAAUUUCAUAGAGAUCCAUGCAAUUACACAUAAGUUAAUGUCUUGAAACUAGAAAAA